rnacentral:rRNA from 1 species
ACAGGGAUUGCCCUAGUAACGGCGAGUGAAGCGGCAACAGCUCAAAUUUGAAAUCUGGCGUCUUUGGCGUCCGAGUUGUAAUUUGCAGAGGGCGCUUUGGCGUUGGCAGCGGUCCAAGUUCCUUGGAACAGGACGUCACAGAGGGUGAGAAUCCCGUACGUGGUCGCUGGCCUUCGCCGUGUAAAGCCCCUUCGACGAGUCGAGUUGUUUGGGAAUGCAGCUCUAAAUGGGAGGUAAAUUUCUUCUAAAGCUAAAUACUGGCCAGAGACCGAUAGCGCACAAGUAGAGUGAUCGAAAGAUGAAAAGCACUUUGGAAAGAGAGUCAAACAGCACGUGAAAUUGUUGAAAGGGAAGCGCUUGCAGCCAGACUUGCCUGUAGUUGCUCAUCCGGACUUUUGUCCGGUGCACUCUUCUAUAGGCAGGCCAGCAUCAGUUUGGGCGGUUGGAUAAAGGUCUCUGUCAUGUACCUCUCUUCGGGGAGAACUUAUAGGGGAGACGACAUGCAACCAGCCUGGACUGAGGUCCGCGCAUCUGCUAGGAUGCUGGCGUAAUGGCUGUAAGCGGCCCGUCUUGAAACACGGACCAAGGAGUCUAACAUCUAUGCGAGUGUUUGGGUGUCAAGCCCGAGCGCGCAAUGAAAGUGAACGGAGGUGGGAACCUUUCGGGGUGCACCAUCGACCGAUCCUGAUGUCUUCGGAUGGAUUUGAGUAAGAGCAUAGCUGUUGGGACCCGAAAGAUGGUGAACUAUGCUUGAAUAGGGUGAAGCCAGAGGAAACUCUGGUGGAGGCUCGCAGCGGUUCUGACGUGCAAAUCGAUCGUCAAAUUUGGGCAUAGGGGCGAAAGACUAAUCGAACUAUCUAGUAGCUGGUUCCUGCCGAAGUUUCCCUCAGGAUAGCAGUAACGUAUUCAGUUUUAUGAGGUAAAGCGAAUGAUUAGAGGCCUGGGGGUUGAAACAACCUU